AUUGAACGCUGGCGGCAGGCCUAACACAUGCAAGUCGAGCGGAGCAGGAGCCGGGGGAGUAAUGCCUAUGAAUCGGACUGUGAGUGAGGGAUAACGUCAAGAAACGGGAGCUAAUACCGCAUACUAUCGGAUCCGGAUAGGCCGGAUUGGCGAGCUGGUGGGGUAAAGGCCUACCACGGCGACGACCCGUACCUGGUCUGAGAGGAUGAUCAGUCACACUGGAAAUGAGACACGGUCCAGACUCCGACGGGAGGCAGCAGUGGGGAAUAUUGCACAAUGGGCGAAAGCCUGAGGCAGCCAUGCCGCGUGUGUGAAGAAGGUCUUCGGAUUGUAAAGCACUUUAAGUUAGGAGGCGUUACUAGCAGAAGAAGCACCGGCUAACUUCGUGCCAGCAGCCGCGGUAAUAC
rnacentral:rRNA from 1 species